CUGCAGCAGUGGAGAGGUGGGGCAGGAUGACAGUUAUCACAAGUUGACGGAUCACUGAGCUCUCGCGUCGCGUCAUCACACUCCUCCCACCCGCUCCACUACCGUAGGAACCUACUCUGUUAUGCGUAGCUUUUACUUGAGCAU